rnacentral:rRNA from 1 species
AGUGAACGCUGGCGGUAGGCCUAACACAUGCCAGUCGAACGGCAGCACAGUAAGAGCUUGCUCUUACGGGUGGCGAGUGGCGGACGGGUGAGGAAUACAUCGGAAUCUACUUUUUCGUGGGGGAUAACGUAGGGAAACUUACGCUAAUACCGUAUACGACCUACGGGUGAAAGCAGGGGAUCUUCGGACCUUGCGCGAUUGAAUGAGCCGAUGUCGGAUUAGCUAGUUGGCGGGGUAAAGGCCCACCAAGGCGACGAUCCGUAGCUGGUCUGAGAGGAUGAUCAGCCACACUGGAACUGAGACACGGUCCAGACUCCUACGGGAGGCAGCAGUGGGGAAUAUUGGACAAUGGGCGCAAGCCUGAUCCAGCCAUACCGCGUGGGUGAAGAAGGCCUUCGGGUUGUAAAGCCCUUUUGUUGGGAAAGAAAAGCAGCAGGUUAAUACCCCGCUGUUCUGACGGUACCCAAAGAAUAAGCACCGGCUAACUUCGUG